rnacentral:rRNA from 1 species
AUGGAGAAGGAAUCUUUGGUGGCUGACGCAGGUCCUAGUAGGUACCUUGUGACCUCAAUGCUGGACAGUCUUGCUGAAUUCCGUAACAUACCCUUCUAUACGAAUAAUUUAAAGUAUCCCUGGGAGGAAGAUGAGGAGGAGAUUAAGGCGAAUGAAUACGAUGGAAUUGAUUAUAAUAAAGUAUCGAGCAAACCAUGGCCAUCCAUGCCAUAUAGAUCUAGUAAGAGAAGAGGGGGAAGAGGAAGCAAUUCUGUUGAUCCCCAACAUGGGAAAUGGCCUCACCGCAAGAAAGUGGAUUCGCCGCAACCGCUCUUAACUAGUGAAGAAGUUCUUCGUGUUCGUUUGGACAUGUACAAUUUGAAAGAAUCUCAGAAUUCAGAAGAGUCCCUCUUCAAUUGCCUCACAUCUAAGGAGGAGCUGAAGGUCAACUUCCCUCACACCAUGACAUACUAUUAUCAUUCCAUUCGUGACGGCCUGAAAGCAAAGUCUUACCCGCACUUCUUUCACCAAUUUGUUGGGAAGUUUUCAUCUCCAUGCUGUAACUAUAUUGAACCUACGACUCUGGAAGGUGAUUUGCAAUACAUCGAUUUCUUUGACAAACUAAUGGAGUCAGCGAGGUACAGAGAGACCAAAGACGGGGUGCUAGCCAAGGCUAUUGUCAUUGCAAACAAGUUUUUCCAAAAAAUGCUGUUUUUUCAAAUUAGGAUUGCUGUUGAUGAGUACUUACAGCUCAUGCAUCAUCUCGAGAAGAUGGCGCAGAGGCAUAAGCUGUACUAUUACAUUGUGCAUGAAGAGCUAAUUGAGAAAAAGGAGCGUAAAGCUAUUUUCAAGCACAUCCAAGAAGGAAGAGUUCGUUUAUUCUAUGAUCUUACCGAGUUUGCUGCUCUAGAGUUGGAGGAUUGUGAAUAUACUGUACAAGACACGGUCGAACGUCUUAAAGAACUUACUGGUGGUAAGUCUCCUCCAAAGAAAAGCAUCAAAGAUGGCACUUACAAAAGGCGUAUCUGUAAUGAGAUCGAUAAGCUGUUCCCAAGAGAAAUCGAGCUUUAUACGUCUUUUCUCAAACAGAAAAUGAAGACAGCUGAAGAACACAAUGUUAUACCCAAGGGAACUUGUGAACGUUUCCGUAGUUUAUCUAACUUUGAGUCAAGAGAGAAAGAACUAGAGCUAUCUAUGUGUGUCACCUGCUAUUUCUCAGUGAAAGGAUUUGUUUAUGAUACUGCAGAAGGGACCUGA